rnacentral:misc_RNA from 1 species
GAGAGCGCGUGCUUUGCAAGCAUGAGGUCGUCGGUUCGAUCCCGUCUGGCUCCACCAGAUGGUUUGAUCACCGAGAUCUUGACCGUCGUCCGCGAAACAUCACUUCGCAUCCUGCUAGUCUGGAUAGACAGCAGUUUGCGUGUUUUCUGACAUCGUAAAGAGGAGAUCGAUCCGAGUUGGGUCGUGCAGCAUAUCGUUGCGCGAGCCUUCAUUAUCUCCGGAUCAUUUCGGCGCUCGCUUCCAGCCGUGAGGUUGGAUGCGGGUUGUAAAUGAUCCUUUUAGCGAAGCUUGACCGCCUCGCUAUCGGAACGAUCUUACGAAGCAAGCUGGUCUUUCUAGUCAAUGUCCGGCUGCGGAUAGCGUUCAUCGAGGGCGCGUGCCGCAAGGCAAUUCUGCAGACAACAUUCUGCCGAGUGUGUGGACAUUGAUAAUGAGAGCAAUCAAGUGCCUUAAGGGUGUUCGGUGGAUGCCUUGGCGCUGAGAGGCGAUGAAGGACGUGCUACGCUGCGAUAAGCCGUGGGGAGCUGCGAAGAAGCUUUGAUCCGCGGAUUUCCGAA